rnacentral:rRNA from 1 species
AGGGCGAACGCUGGCGGCGUGCUUAACACAUGCAAGUCAAGGGGGCCCAGUAGCAAUACUGGGCAACCGGCGAACGGGUGCGUAACACGUGAGCAACCUACCGAAAUGUGGGGGAUAGCCGGCCUAACGGCCGAGUAAUACCGCAUACGCUCUCGAUGAGGCAUUUCAUUGAGAGGAAACCUACGGGACAUUUCGAGGGGCUCGCGGCCUAUCAGCUAGUUGGAGAGGUAACGGCUCACCAAGGCAACGACGGGUAGC